CUUCCUUGGCGGGAAAACAACUGUGGUGAACCUGGCAACGCCAGCAAGGGGAACACAUUAGAAGAAACAACAAAUAGAAGACUCCAAAAAGAGAGAGAGAGCAUUUAAAAUCUUAAGUGGCAAAGGAGAGGAGAAAAAAGGAAAAAUACAGGAAGAGAUGCCUACCUUAGAUGCCAUUAAAGGAACGAUGAAGAUUCAUCAGGUUAUCAGUGUCUCACCAGGCCAGAUAAAAUACAGGGACAUUACUUGUCUGUGCAAGAAGGAUAGUGGCAUGUUGGACUGUCCUUGUUUUCAGCUCAAAGAGGCAAGUCUGGGUGACCCUGCAGCAUCUAACCAGCUCCCUGCAUCUCAUGACAAGGCUGACACGACAUGGCGACCUGGCACCAUUGAACUUAAUCACGUAGGAGAGUGGUGUGUUGUCAAUUAUGACCAUGAAGGAUACCCUGGCAUCAUCAUGGAUGUAGAGGAACACAACAUUAAGGUGAAGUGCAUACACCGGAAUGGCAUCAACAAAUUCUUCUGGCCAAAUCCAAAGGAAGAUAUUUGUUGGUACUCUGAUGGACAGAUAAUUUGUCUGAUGCCAGAGCCACAGGCUGUUAAUAAACGUUAUGUGCAGAUCUUUUUCAAAUGAAUUCAGUUACAUUGUCAAAUAUCAAGAAUUUGUGUCAUGUAUAUUAAAGAGUAAGACAUGGCCAACACCACACAAUUAUAAACUUGGAUACAAUAUCAUUAAUACCUGUCUCAAUUUAGAAAGAUAAUGUCCAAAUUAGAUUAAGUUCUGUAUAAAACCACACAUUGUAUACAACAUCUGUUAUUUCUUUAUAAUUUGACCAGACCAAAUGGACAGAGUUGACAAGGGGACACAAUAGCUUUAUGAAAAUGUAAAUAUGACUAAAAUAGUCCAAUGAAAGUAAUUAAAGACAGUUAAGUGCUUGUCCGCAAUAGGGUGGACUCAUCAUAUGGCUGAUUCACAGAAAAUGUGUUUAUAAUUACCUAACUAAGUGCUGGAGCUUGGCCAACGUGUU